ACAUACGACCAUAGGGUGUGGAAAAUAGGGCUUCCCGUCCGCUCAGCCGUACUCAAGCCACACGCCGGUGAGUUAGUAGUUGGGUGGGUGACCACCAGC
rnacentral:rRNA from 1 species